rnacentral:lncRNA from 1 species
CAGAGGAAUAUUGAAUUGAAAAAAUAUGGACCUUUACUUUAAGGAGGUGUUUGGGGGCUUUUAAAGAAUUUUAUAACCUCCCAGAGGCAAUGCAUCCUGUUUUCUUCCUCUUUUUUAAUUCUAUGUUUUACUCAUUACUUAUCUGUAGCUUUAUACAAAGAUACAUAUGUAUGUAUAUAAAGAUAUAUUCAUGCAUGUGUAUAUUCUAUAUACAUACUGAUAGAUAAGCUCUAAAGGUUAUGCAUUUAAUGCUAUUUCAUAACAUGGUCAUUAGACAUUUUGUAUUCAUCUGUUGCUGCUAUUUUUCUGGUACAUGUAGUUAGACUGAAUUCUUUUGAGUGAUUAUAGAUCUCAUUCCAAGGAUCUCCAAGAUUUUGGUAAGUACAUCUUGACAUCACCCUCUCUAAGGAAUCCCUCCUUGACCUGGACUAGACAAAUUAGAUUGAGAGUCAGGGAUAAAUUGUAAUCCAUAUUGGUAUAAGUAAGAAUCCUAUUGAUAGGUUCUCAUUGAAUACUUUUCAAUCUACUUGCUGCAUCUCAUCAGUAGAUUGACAGCUCUUUGAAGGUAAUGGCUUGGUUCACAAUGAAGCCCUCUCUCUUCAGUUAAUUCCCCAUUGACACUUCCAUUCCCAAGCUGAGAGAGACCACAGAGACAAGGAGAGGAGAGGAGAGGAGAAAGAGAUGGAGAGAGAAAGAGAGGGAGAGAGAGACAAGACAGAGAGGAGAUGAGAGAAGAAAGAGACAAAGGGAGAGAAAAAGAGAGACACAGACACAGACAGAGAGACACAAACACAGAGACAAUUUUUGUCCUCUAAUAAUUUUCCCUUUUUCUUUCAGGACCUUGGCUGGAAUUCCUCCACUACUAAAUAGGUCUUCAGAAUUUCAGACCGGAUUCCAGACAAGGUCCAGAGAUGCUAUGAGUGGAGCAUCUGACCUUUGGAAUUUCAAAGGCCAGGAGAGCCAUAGGAAUCUGGGAGUCAGAAUCCAGGCCAUAUUUUGCAACCAGUAUAGCACUGAUGUUCCAAGGAGCAAGCAGCAAGGAGACAUUUUCAGGAGUGACAUCCAGGAUUCCAGCCCAAUAGAAGAACUUAUCUCACAUAAUGGUACUUUUGGAUAUGAACUUGGUGGGACCAAAGCUUAGUAGUAACGAAACUAAAUUAUAAACCCCAUCUUCUUCAGAGUAUUAUGAGCAUUUGGGGGUGACGAUUAUUCCCUGAUAUGUUUGGGAAAACAUUUGUAUUGUUUGUUUGUUUGUUUUGUUAUAUUAUUGAAGUAACUAUACCUUUGUAAGUGCCACCUACAGUUUAGUCAUUAAAUGGAACUGGACUGGUAAUUACUGGCCUCCUAAAAUGAGGGUGGGUGGGACACAGAAGGUCAGUGUUUGAUCCAAGAGCAAAGAUAAGAGACACUAUAAUCCUUCAGGAUACUUGAGAACCAUGAUGGGGAAAUGUGACAGGCUCUAGGUAAAGAAGGAGUGGAACAUAUUCAUCUCACAAGAAAAAUGAAUUCCAACAUUGUUUAUGUCCAAGAACAUAUGUCUCAUUUUACAUCUUGAGAUACCCCUUUCAUAGAAAUUGUGACAUGUUACAUCAUUGGUAUUCAGUAAUUGUGGAUUGUCAUUACAUUGAUCAGAAUUCUUAAAUCCUUCAAAGUUGUUUUGCAAUACAAUGUUGCUAUUAUUGUAUAAAUUAUUCUUCUGUUUCUGAUUACUUCACUCUGCAUUAGAUCACAUAAGUCUUCACAGGUUUCCCCUGUGACUGUCCCUUUUGUCAUUUCUUGAGACCCAAUAAUGUCAC